rnacentral:rRNA from 1 species
UUUCGUUGCUUCGGCAGGAUUAAAAAGGGCGCUUCGGUGCCCCGGAUUCAGGCGCCUGCCGGGGGACCUAAACUCUUGUAUUAUAGUGGGGUUCUGAGUGGAUUACACAAAUAAUCAAAACUUUCAACAACGGCCCCAAUGGUUCUGGCAUCGAUGAAGAACGCAGCGAAAUGCGAAAAGUAAUGUGAAUUGCUUCGGUCAGUGAAUCAUCGAAUCUUUGAACGCACAUUGCGCCCGCCAGUAUUCUGGCGCCCGUGCCUGUCUGAGCGUCAUUUCAACCCUCAUGCCCCAGCGGUGUGGUGUUGGGGAUCGGCCUGAGCUAACGCCCGGGCCGUCCCCUAAAUCUAGUGGCGGACUCGCUGUA